UCCGGUGUAGAUGACGGCAAGGGAACACCUGUUACCAUACCGAACACAGAAGUUAAGCUUGCUGGUGCCGAAGAUACUUGGUGGGUAGCUACCUGGGAAAAUAGGGAUAUGCCGGAA
rnacentral:rRNA from 1 species